UCAUUGGCCCCCCCCCCGUGCUGAGCCCCACAUGGUCCCCCUGAGUCCAAAGUAAAAGGAAAGGAAAACCUGUUGGUGAGAGUGAUGGUCACAGUCUGAUCGAGAGUGGUGGUUGCAGUCCGGUUGAGAGUGGUGGUUGCAGUCCAGUUGAGAGUUGUGGUCGCAGUCCAGUCAAGAGAGGUGGUGCAGUCCAGUCAAG